rnacentral:rRNA from 1 species
UACGUGGGGGGCAAGCGUUGUUCGGAAUUACUGGGCGUAAAGGGCUCGUAGGCGGCCAACUAAGUCAGACGUGAAAUCCCUCGGCUUAACCGGGGAACUGCGUCUAAUACUGGAUGGCUUGAGUUUGGGAGAGGGAUGCGGAAUUCCAGGUGUAGCGGUGAAAUGCGUAGAUAUCUGGAGGAACACCGGUGGCGAAGGCGGCAUCCUGGACCAACACUGACGCUGAGGAGCGAAAGCCAGGGGAGCAAACGGG